GGGGCAGAAAAGUACGAUUGUGUUUUAUAAAUACCUUGUCAUCAACGAAUAUCCCAUAUUUAUAUCACAACAAUCCGCAGACAUAGUCAUAAAAGGAUAAAAAUUAGCUGAUUUUUAUUUUUUCGAUAAUAUCAUGCCUUCUACUUCAUGUAAUUCAAACAUAUUGCAUUGCAACGACUAUUUCCGAACAUCUUACGAAAGGAUGCCGAGGGUGUAACCCACUGAGCCAGAGGAGGAGUGGUCACUAUACCGUGAUGCAUUGCGAUUAUUCCAAAUAAUUGUGAUAUUAUUGAUUUUCCACGAGCGGGCGCUCAUUGUUCGCUUGACCUUCACUAUCAAAACAACAAGAGUGAGAUUAUAUGGCGGAUUUUGUAAAGCCGACCACCGCCAUAAAGCUUCAGUUUUGGAAGGACACGAUCUUCUUUUUGUUCAUUGUGUAUCGUCAGAGCCUACGCUGUUGGUUCCCAUGGGUUAUCGUGUGUUCAGUUUUGAAUGCCGUGAGAUUCACAUCAGUUUUCUGGAUAAUUUGCAUAUCAGAAGAAUCGCUAUUUUAAUUGUCUAUUUGUCUCUAAAAGUUGAUGAAACAUUCGCCGAUUGCAAUAGCCCAGCAUUGAUAGAGAUACAUUCCAGUUGUGCUUUUAGGGUAAGUCGUUUGCUUUAAUCGUUAAAGCGAAUACAAAGGCAAUGUACCUACACAAUGCUUUUAUGAUUCAGAUUUUUAUAGCCAAUGUUGGUAUAAACAAUAUGUCAAUAUUUGUGCUUUCCAUUUUGAAUAUAAGCAUAUAUAGAGCUAAAAUAGUUUAAGUUAGAGAAGCUUAGACUGUUCAUUUGGUUUGAUCAUAGACAUAGAGGUUUGAUUACUUUGGUAUUUUUAUAUUACUAUUAAAGUAAUUUAUUUUAUUAUCCAUUGAAUUGCAUGAGUCACAUUAAUUGCACCAUUUAUUAUUUUACUCUGUCUCAUGCCAGAUUGUUUUACUCUGUCUAAUGGCAGCUGGCCUAUCUGCCCAUGUGUCUAGUUAACCCAUUGAGUCACACUGUCCCCGCAUGUGCCCUACUUUAAUAUUGUACUUUGUUAAACUGAAUAUUGUUUUCAUAUGUUGCAGUUCUCUGACCUCAGUGAUCUCGGGCAAGAUGGAACAGGACAAUCUUUUAUCUUUGAGAAUGUUAUUUUGUGGGAUUUCAAUAUUCUGCCAUCCCCACCUUCUCAAACAAUUCAACCUCGAGAUCCAGAUACUGUUAAUGAAGAGUUGGACAGUGUGCUGUCACCAAUAAAUUUACAAGGGCAAACUGGAUGUAACUGUGAUCUACAACCAAUAAAUUUACAAGGGCAAACUGGA